CUGAGACAAGGACCCAGGCCCUACGGGGCGCAGCAGUCGCGAAAACUUUGCAAUACACGAAAGUGUGACAGGGCUAUCCCGAGUGCCAUCCGCUGAGGAAGGCUUUUACCCAGUCUAGAACGCUGGGGGAAUAAGGAGAGGGCAAGUCUGGUGUCAGCCGCCGCGGUAAUACCAGCUCUCCGAGUGGUGUGGAUGUUUAUUGGGCCUAAAGCAUCCGUAGCUGGCUAGGUAAGUCCCUUGUUAAAUCCACCGAAUUAAUCGUUGGAUCGCGGGGGAUACUGCUUGGCUAGGGGACGAGAGAGGCAGACGGUAUUUUCGGGGUAGGGGUGAAAUCCUAUAAUCCCGGGAAGACCACCAGUGGCGAAGGCUGUCUGCUAGAACGCGCCCGACGGUGAGGGAUGAAAGCUGGGGGAGCGAACCGGAUUAGAUACCCGGGUAGUCCCAGCUGUAAACGAUGCAGACUAGGUGUUUGGACGGCCACGUGCCGUUCUAGUGCCGCAGGGAAGCUGUUAAGUCUGCCGCCUGGGGAGUACGAUCGCAAGAUUGAAACUUAAAGGAAUUGGCGGGGGAGCACCACAAGGGGUGAAGCUUGCGGUUUAAUUGGAGUCAACGCCGGAAAUCUCACCGGGAGCGACAGCAGUGUGAAGGCCAGAUUAAAGGUCUUGCCAGACGAGCUGAGAGGAGGUGCAUGGCCGUCGCCAGUUCGUGCCGUGAGGUGUCCUGUUAAGUCAGGCAACGAUCGAGACCCGCGUCCUCUGUUGCAACCAGCUUUGUGCUGGGCACACUGAGGAGACCGCCACUGAUAAAGUGGAGGAAGGAGCGGGCCACGGCAGGUCAGUAUGCCCCGAAUCUCCCGGGCCACACGCGAGCUGCAAUGGCAGGUACAAUGGGUUCCGACCUCGAAAGGGGAAGGCAAUCUCGAAAGCUUGCCGUAGUUGGGAUCGAGGGUUGAAACCCACCCUCGUGAACAUGGAAUCCCUAGUAAUCGCGUGUCAUUAGCGCGCGGUGAAUACGUCCCUGCUCCUUGCACACACCGCCCGUCGUUCCAUCCGAGUGACUCUU
rnacentral:rRNA from 1 species